UUGCUACUCCCUCCGUUCGGAAUUACUUGUCUCGGAAAUGGAUGUAUCUAGAACUAAAAUAUGUCUAGAUACAUCCAUUUCUGCGACAAGUAAUUCUGAACGGAGAGAGUAUAAA
rnacentral:pre_miRNA from 1 species